CUCCACCAGGAACUUAUAAUGCUGAGUCUCUGAAGGGCAGGCCAGUCCGGCGAGUUUGUGAGGUUCGACCCACGAGAAGUUCGGCGGAGCGGCGAAAGCGUGCGACAUGAUUAACGUUAACUAACGUUAGAUGUUCAGUCAGUCAUUGGUUAAAAAUGUUUACCUGAAGUGUCCGACUCGCACCUUCCGCCCAGCUAAGUGUGUGUGCAGCAUCACAGAGAACACCUGAAGAUCAUGUGGCGUCUCCAGAACCUGUAGAGCACAGAACCCAAGAUCAUCCAGUCAUCUGAUGAAUCUGAUCGAGAGAGUCCACGGUCUCCAUACACAAGUUGGUUCUUAACGAUGUGUAACACUCUGCCUCAAACGCCUCGGUCACGCUCGCAGGGCAGCGGUACAGCAGCAGAUGAUGCACGAGGUCAAAGUUUGUGAUCAACGGCUCAAUCUGGACAUAAUGAAAGCCAGCCAAGAUGUAGAUGAGUUUGAUUCUUCAUUACACAGGUUUUGAGUGGAUUUUAAUUUUAAGGUGAGCUGUUCCAUUAAUUCACUCUUAAGCCUGAGUGAAGCGCGUCGGCCGACUAAGUUUUCUCAGUGUGUUUCAGCCGAUUCGACAUGUUGAAUCGUCGUCGGUCAGUCGGGCCAUCUGAUCGUUCUGAUUGGCCGUUCAGCUGGCGAACCAGUGCACGAGAAAGGCGCAGAAUGGACGUGCUACUUGGCCGUCGGGUGUUGAGCGUCGGCUUGGUGUGUCAGGACAACUUUAGGCCCAGCCGCUGCCAACAUGAGCCGACCUGUCUGCUUUCGUCGCCACUAGUUCAUCGGUGUCGGCUUGGUGUGUAACGUGCUUUACAGUUCAAUUCUAGUCUAUGCUAUAAUCUAAACAUUUUAAUCUAGUCUAAAUGUUUUGGCAUAUUUUUAACCAGAAGAACCUUUUCCUAACCAUAAACAGAUUGACAAUUUCUCUUAUAAUUUCUGUUCUUACUGAAAACAAAAAUUCUGCUCAACACAUUCACAGUCAGUGGGAACAUAUUUGUGUUUAAUGCAAAGAGUACAACAUCUUUCAUUUGUUAAAUAGUUGUUUCUCUAAAAUUAACAUUAAUAUAAAAUGUUAACGGCCUGGUAGGACAAAUAUUAAAUGUCUUGUCUCUAUUCAUCACGCAUUAUUAAAAGCUUAAAGAAUGAAUUGG